rnacentral:rRNA from 1 species
UACAGAGGUCUCAAGCGUUGUUCGGAUUCAUUGGGCGUAAAGGGUGCGUAGGCGGCGCGGUAAGUCGGGUGUGAAAUCUCGGAGCUUAACUCCGAAACUGCAUUCGAUACUGCCGUGCUUGAGGACUGGAGAGGAGACUGGAAUUUACGGUGUAGCGGUGAAAUGCGUAGAGAUCGUAAGGAAGACCAGUGGCGAAGGCGAGUCUCUGGAAAGCUGCUGACGCUGAGGCACGAAGGCCAGGGGAGCAAACGGG